rnacentral:rRNA from 1 species
UACGAAGGGGGCUAGCGUUGUUCGGAAUCACUGGGCGUAAAGCGCACGUAGGCGGGUCUUUAAGUCAGGGGUGAAAUCCUGGAGCUCAACUCCAGAACUGCCUUUGAUACUGAGGAUCUUGAGUUCGGGAGAGGUGAGUGGAACUGCGAGUGUAGAGGUGAAAUUCGUAGAUAUUCGGAAGAACACCGGUGGCGAAGGCGGCGACCUGGUCCUUGACUGACGCUGAGGCGCGAAAGCGUGGGGAGCAAACAGG